UAUAUACUGUCUCAUAUAUAUAUUUAUGAAUUUAAAAUUUUAAUAAAAAUGUUAAAAUUUAUUUAUGGGACGAUAAGACCCUAUAGAAUUUUAUAUUAAUUUAAUUAUUUAAUUAAUAAAUAAUUUAAAUUAAUAUUUAAUUGGGAGGAUUAUUAAAUUUAAAAAACUUUAAUUUAUAAAAACUUUAAUUAAAGAAAAUAUUAUGAUCUUGAAUUUUAAAUUAUUAGAAUAAAUUACCUUAGGGAUAACAGCGUAAUAUUUUUUUAUAGAUCUUAUAGAAAAAAAUGAUUGCGACCUCGAUGUUGAAUUAAGA
rnacentral:rRNA from 5 species